rnacentral:rRNA from 1 species
CACGUAGGCACCAAGCGUUGUCCGGAUUUACUGGGCGUAAAGAGCGCGCAGGCGGCUGGUCAAGUCCGAUGUGAAAUCUCCCGGCUCAACUGGGAAACUGCAUCGGAAACUGAUCGGCUUGAAGAUGGGAGAGGGUAGUGGAAUUCCCGGUGUAGUGGUGAAAUGCGUAGAUAUCGGGAGGAACACCAGUGGCGAAGGCGACUACCUGGCCCAUUCUUGACGCUGAGGCGCGAAAGCUAGGGGAGCGAACGGG